GGAGAGAUGUCUGAGUGGUUAGGGAUUAGGUAGAAAUUAAUUGGCCCCUUCCCCCGCAGGUUCAAAUCCUGUUCUCUGCU
rfam:Necator americanus N_americanus-1.0_Cont308.3, whole genome shotgun sequence.